rnacentral:lncRNA from 1 species
AAGCAGUCGAGCAUCCAUCUCCGCACCUGGGUCAUGUACGUACUCGUGUCGCGUGCGUGUACAAACAAGUACGGUCGUGGACUCGUGGACUUUAGGCAUAGCAAGACUAUUUCAACAAUAAUCUCAAAAUUUUGACUGAAGCAAAGCUGGCCUGAGAGCUGCAAAGACCCUAAAGCUGCGGGCUCAGGCCGGUCAAUUCACAUGCAGAAGGCCGGGAGAGAGGCUGAAGCCGCUGACGUUAACCGCGCGCAUACACAUGAAACGUGUUUGUAUACAUUCUCCUUCCCUUUAACGAAACACAAAGACCUGCAGGAGGACCUCGUCCAAAGUCUCUCUCACUCUACGAAUAUUGAUGGCAGUUAUUCUUUCCUUUUCACUCAUAUAACUUUGGCGACACUUUAUUUUCUCAAACUUGCCCUAUAUAUACAUUCCACCUAAUCCUCCGCCUUCAUAUAUAUAUGUGUGUGUGUGUAUGUUUCCAUUGUACGCAUACAGAAACGACUAGAGACGUUUUAUAUUGUCAAACGCCAAAUCCAAGUCCUCGUUUCGACCGGCUGGUUUCUGCGUUCCUGACAAGUUUAAUUAACGUUUAUGUGAGGCAGUCGAGACUCCUCAGGCUCUUGUCAUGAAUUUCAGCCCUUGCUUAAUUAAUUCUCAGUUUCUGUCGUUAGGGUUCCUUAAGUUAAUUGAAAGCUGUGCUUUUCAUGUUUUUGUCAUCACUUUGUUUUCCAUGUUUCUGUAACGUUCCUUUCUUUGCCUAUUAC